GGGGGAUAUUGCACAAUGGGGGAAACCCUGAUGCAGCAACGCCGCGUGAGGGAAGAAGGUUUUCGGAUUGUAAACUUCUGUCCUAGGUGAAGAAAGAAAUGACGGUAGCCUGGGAGGAAGCUCCGGCUAACUACGUGCCAGCAGCCGCGGUAAUACGUAGGGAGCGAGCGUUGUCCGGAAUUACUGGGUGUAAAGGGUGCGUAGGCGGCCUUGUGGGUCAGGCGUGAAAUACAUGGGCUUAACUCAUGGACUGCGCUUGAAACUAUAAGGCUUGAGUGAAGUAGAGGUAGGCGGAAUUCCCGGUGUAGCGGUGAAAUGCGUAGAGAUCGGGAGGAACACCAGUGGCGAAGGCGGCCUGCUGGGCUUUAACUGACGCUGAGGCACGAAAGCAUGGGUAGCAAACAGGAUUAGAUACCCUGGUAGUCCCAUGCCGUAAACGAUGAUUAUUAGGUGUGGGUGGUC
rnacentral:rRNA from 1 species